rnacentral:rRNA from 1 species
ACGAACGUUGGCGGCGUGGAUUAGGCAUGCAAGUCGAACGAGGCCGGCCCCGCAAGGGGCCGCGUCGAGUGGCGAAAGGGGCAGUAAGGCGUGGGUAACCUACCCCGGGGAUCGGCAUAGCCGGCCUAACGGCCGGGUAAUUCCGGGCGAUCUGGAAGGGGGGCAUCUCCGUUCCAGGAAAUGAAUUUCGCCUCGGGAGGGGCCCACGUGAUAUUAGCUUGUUGGUGGGGUAACGGCCCACCAAGGCGUAGAUGUCUAGCGGGUGUGAGAGCACGACCCGCGCCACUGGCACUGGGACACUGGCCAGACUCCUACGGGAGGCUGCAGUCGAGGAUCUUCGGCAAUGGGCGCAAGCCUGACCGAGCGACGCCGCGUGCGCGAUGAAGGCCUUCGGGUUGUAAAGCGCUGUCAGGGGGGAGGAAAGCCCCGCAAGGGGCCUGACCUAUCCUCAGAGGAAGCACGGGCUAAGUUCGUGCCAGCAGCCGCGGUAAGACGAACCGUGCGAACGUUGUUCGGAAUCACUGGGCUUAAAGGGCGCGUAGGCGGCGUGGCGAGCCUGGGGUGAAAUUUCCCGGCCUAACCGGGACAGGGCCUCGGGGACCACCACGCUGGAGGGGGACAGGGGCAGCCGGAACUGCCGGUGGAGCGGUGAAAUGCGUUGAGAUCGGCAGGAACGCCGGUGGCGAAAGCGGGCUGCUGGAUCCCUACUGACGCUGAGGCGCGAAAGCCAGGGGAGCGAACGGGAUUAGAUACCCCGGUAGUCCUGGCCCUAAACGAUGGGUACUAGGUAGUGGGCUUGACAUGGGCUCACUGCCGCAGCUAACGUGUUAAGUACCCCGCCUGGGGAGUAUGGUCGCAAGGCUGAAACUCAAAGGAAUUGACGGGGGCUCACACAAGCGGUGGAGCAUGUGGCUUAAUUCGAGGCUACGCGAAGAACCUUAUCCUGGGCUUGACAUGUGCGAAAGCGCAGGGAAGUAGCCGCCGGAAACGGCCGGCCAACGGUAUCCAGUCCGGAACCUUGCACAGGUGCUGCAUGGCUGUCGUCAGCUCGUGUCGUGAGAUGUUGGGUUAAGUCCCGUAACGAGCGAAACCCUUGCCUCCAGUUGCCAGCGGGUCAUGCCGGGGACUCUGGAGGGACUGCCGGCGUCAAGCCGGAGGAAGGCGGGGAUGACGUCAAGUCCUCAUGGCCUUGAUGCCCAGGGCUGCACACGUGCUACAAUGGCGCGUACAAAGGGACGCCAACCCGCGAGGGGGAGCUAAUCCCAAAAAACGCGCCCCAGUUCAGAUCGCAGGCUGCAACUCGCCUGCGGAAGCCGGAAUCGCUAGUAAUCGCGGGUCAGCAACACCGCGGUG